rnacentral:rRNA from 1 species
CAGUCGCCACGGUAAUACGGAGGAUCCAAGCGUUAUCCGGAAUCAUUGGGUUUAAAGGGUCCGUAGGCGGUCUUGUAAGUCAGUGGUGAAAGCCCAUCGCUCAACGGUGGAACGGCCAUUGAUACUGCAGGACUUGAAUUAUUGGGAAGUAACUAGAAUAUGUAGUGUAGCGGUGAAAUGCUUAGAGAUUACAUGGAAUACCAAUUGCGAAGGCAGGUUACUACCAAUUGAUUGACGCUGAUGGACGAAAGCGUGGGUAGAGAACAGGAUUAGAUACCCCGGUAGUCCCUGUCUCUUAUAA